rnacentral:rRNA from 1 species
UACGUAGGGGGCUAGCGUUGUUCGGAAUUACUGGGCGUAAAGAGCGUGUAGGCGGCCAGAAAAGUCCGCUGUGAAAACUCGAGGCUCAACUUCGAGCUGUCGGUGGAAACUUUCUGGCUAGAGUCCGGAAGAGGAGAAUGGAAUUCCUGGUGUAGCGGUGAAAUGCGCAGAUAUCAGGAAGAACACCCGUGGCGAAGGCGGUUCUCUGGGACGGUACUGACGCUGAGACGCGAAAGCGUGGGGAGCGAACAGG